CUUGGUCAUUUAGAGGAAGUAAAAGUCGUAACAAGGUUUCCGUAGGUGAACCUGCGGAAGGAUCAUUAUUGAAACUCACGGGGGCGCGUGCUAAGACCUGCACCGGUGGCGACGCCGUGCUGCGGUCUGGCUUGCGUCCUCUUCCAAACCCAAACACCUGUGAACCUUUGGGAUGGCGUGCUGUAACGGCCGUCGUCCCGUUUACACCAACUCUGAUGUCUAUUUGAAUGUGACUCGGGGCCUCCCCGAUUUAAACUUAAAACAACUUUCAACAACGGAUCUCUUGGCUCUCGCAUCGAUGAAGAACGCAGCGAAAUGCGAUAAGUAAUGUGAAUUGCAGAAUUCAGUGAAUCAUUGAAUCUUUGAACGCACCUUGCGCUCCUUGGUAUUCCGAGGAGCAUGCCUGUUUGAGUGUCUUGAAAUCAUCAAACCCCUCUGGUUUCUGCUGGAGCGGGUUUGGACUUGGGGGUUUUGCUGCCUCUGGCGGCUCCCCUUAAAUGAAUCGGUCGGGCUUUCGUGUGGCUUGUCCCUUGGCGUUGUAUCAACCUCGUCGCUGGAUGGCUCGCGAGCUUUAGCGCCCCUCCAAGACCAGCCUCUGGAGUGGCGGUCAACUUCAAUUUGUGAUCUGACCUCAAAUCAGGUAGGACUACCCGCUGAACUUAAGCAUAUCAAUAAGCGGAGGAAAAGAAACUAACAAGGAUUCCCCUAGUAACUGCGAGUGAAGCGG
rnacentral:rRNA from 1 species